rnacentral:lncRNA from 1 species
CCCACCCAAGUUGAUCGAGAUAAAAGGUUUGUUUUACAUUAUCUGUCUGAAGAGAGAAGAUUUAUCUUGUUUGAAAAAGGUAAAACUGAACAUAAAUUUUCUUCUCUUCAAGAUCGAUAAGGUAAAGUUUACGAAAAUUUUCAAAUACCUUUACUCUAUUCGAAUGUUGUUGAAAAUCUUUUUGAUGGUUUGAUGUUUGGAAAUUGUUUGUACCUUGUUGUGAUUGAUUGUUGUCUUU